AACUUUCGGCAAUGGAUCACUACCGACACGCCAUUCGCUAUUUUGGUCUGUGGGCACCACGGUCAAAGGGGAAGACCUCUGCCGCCAUCUUUGCUUUAUUGAGACAGACGCAACGUUCGCGGCCCCGCCGUAGAAGCUGGAGAUACUCACUGCUGAGAUAUUUCGGGAAUGAUCCGCUGAUCGACAGCCGCGACCAGCAGAUGCACUGGGUCCGACGACUGCCACCUUAUCGUUCUCGCGGACCGGGAUGAAGGAAAUGGACAAUGAGGAUAAACGGAUGAGAUGGCUGCCGCACGUGCCGCCGCGCGGGCUUUUAGAUUCCAACUCGUACUCAUCCAAACGCUCAGGGGCGAGAAGGAGAACAAAGUAAUGGAUUUAAGCAUAUCAAUAAGCGGAGGCU
rnacentral:misc_RNA from 1 species